GACCAUUUCUCAAAAAAAAAAAUGAGAGCUCUCUCUUUGCUCUCUCACCCUCUGAGCCGGUCGUCGGGCCACCAUGGCUGCUACCGAUCGCCAGUGACAGCGCCGCAGUCCACAGUGGCCGGAGAGCCCAAAAGCUCUGAUUUCGAGCCCCUUUCGAAGGAAAAGCCUUCUCCUCUCAAAAAAGUCUAAAAAAACAAUAAAAAACCUUCGAUUCUUUUAUAACCGUCGCGUCGUCCGUUCCAACAACCCCAAACCGAACCUUAAUGGGUUAUGGACUUUCAGCACCGGGGAGAACCUCCGAUGAUGAAGGGAGACGAAGCGUCUCAGGCGACGGUGGCAGAGGGUGUGGUCAACAGUGGUGGCAAAAGGGUGUCAGACGGCAUGCAUGCUGACGUGGAGAAGCGGAGCGGCUGGAUAUUAGGGUUUUUUUACUGAAAAUUUGUUUAUGUGUUGUGGGCUAGGGCUUGUAACUUUAGUUUUUGUUUUUGUUUUUGUUUUGGGCUUAUAAUUUUGUAUUUAGGCCAGCUGUUGUAAAUGAACUCUUAAUAUUUAGACCAUUAAUAUUAUUUUUAUUUUAUGUUUUUA